UGGGGAAUAUUGGACAAUGGGCGCAAGCCUGAUCCAGCCAUGCCGCGUGUGUGAAGAAGGCCUUUUGGUUGUAAAGCACUUUAAGCGAGGAGGAGGCUACUUGGAUUAAUACUCUAGGAUAGUGGACGUUACUCGCAGAAUAAGCACCGGCUAACUCUGUGCCAGCAGCCGCGGUGAUACAGAGGGUGCGAGCGUUAAUCGGAUUUACUGGGCGUAAAGCGUGCGUAGGCGGCUUCUUAAGUCGGAUGUGAAAUCCCUGAGCUUAACUUAGGAAUUGCAUUCGAUACUGGGAAGCUAGAGUAUGGGAGAGGAUGGUAGAAUUCCAGGUGUAGCGGUGAAAUGCGUAGAGAUCUGGAGGAAUACCGAUGGCGAAGGCAGCCAUCUGGCCUAAUACUGACGCUGAGGUACGAAAGCAUGGGGAGCAAACAGG
rnacentral:rRNA from 1 species